UCGGAUAUGGUGUAACGGCUAACAUUGCCGCCUCUCAACACCCACAGUUAGGGCGCGGCAGCUCGGGGUUCGAUUCCCCGUAUCCGAA